CGAUGCCGAGGUCGUUCCCGAGGCGGUGUCCUUGUCCGAUGCCGUUCCUGAGGCCAUUCCCGAGGCGGUGCCCGAUGCUGUUCCGGAGGCCGAUGCGGGGCCCGAGAUGGUUCCGGAGGCGAUACCCGUGUCCAAGGCCGUUCCCGAGGCGGUGCCCUUGUCUGAGGCCGUUCCCGAUGCCGUUCCCAAUGCCGUGACCUGGCCAUCGCCACAGCCUGCUCCUUACUGGCUCCCCGAUUGGCAGGUUCCGUUCGGGCCACUCAAAUGGCGAAUUCCUCCCUGGCCGUCUGCACAACGAGAAUGGACUGAUCCACCGUGGCCACCUGAACUGCCUGGCCCCUCGUGGUCCCCCUGAACUUGCGGGUCCACCGUGGCCACCUGAACUG
ensembl:lncRNA